AGAAACUUAGGAUAAUUUACCCAAACCGGAGGCCUUCAAAGCCUUAAAUAAGAGUUAAACCCUCUUAGUUUCUG
rnacentral:tRNA from 1 species